GCCCGCUACAGAAACUCAAAGGAAGUUGACGGGGGCCCGCACAAGCGGUGGAGUAUGUGGUUUAAUUCGAUGCAACGCGAAGAACCUUACCUGGUCUUGACAUCCCGGAGACCCUUAGGAAACUAGGGGGUGCUUCCAUCUGGAAGAAUCUGGAGACAGGUGCUGCAUGGCUGUCGUCAGCUCGUGUCGUGAGAUGUUGGGUUAAGUCCCGCAACGAGCGCAACCCUUGCCUUUAGUUGCCAGCAGUUCGGCUGGGCACUCUAAAGGGACUGCCGGUGUUAAACCGGAGGAAGGUGGGGAUGACGUCAAGUCCUCAUGGCCUUUAUGACCAGGGCUACACACGUACUACAAUGGCCGAUACAAAGGGCAGCGACACUGCGAGGUGAAGCCAAUCCCGUAAAAUCGGUCUCAGUCCGGAUUGGAGUCUGCAACUCGACUCCAUGAAGUUGGAAUCGCUAGUAAUCGUGGAUCAGCAUGCCACGGUGAAUACGUUCCCGGGCCUU
rnacentral:rRNA from 1 species